UUGAACACAAUAGUCAUGAAAGAAAAGGAAAACAGAAACAGUUAGGGGUAACACAGAGUGAAAUUAGGAGGAGACUUGAAGAGAAAGAGAAGAAUCUGAAGGAGACGACGAGGACAGUGGAGGAGAUGAAGG